ensembl:lncRNA
AUUUAAGGGCUGAAUGCCACCAAGGAAGGUUCUCUUGUUGGAGAUCUCUCCUUUGUGGAGUUUUUUUACAAGCCCAGAUCUUCAGAGGUGGGAUUUGGUUUCCUUCGUGGCGCUGACCCAUGAAGUCGUCAUGUGGGGGCUGUGUUUGCAGAGCUGCCCAGUGUGGACUUCCACUGAUGCUCUGUGCUCUCGGUAGGAAGCAUUGCUCCCAGAAGUCUGUGUGCCUUGAGGAGCACUGUGCCUCCUUUCGGGGACCUGGGAUGUGUGGUUGGAUGUAAUACUGGAAUUUUGUGGGGGAAAGAAAACUGCAGAAGUUCUCACCUGCUUUUCCUGAACACUGUGAGCAGUGCAGCUCUCUGGGGAAGAGCCCUGGCUCAACACCUGCAUUAAGGGGUAGCAGCACGCACUGAUGGGAACGGAGCUCUGCAGUCUAAUGCAGGAGCGGUUGCAGUGGGAGCUCUCCUUCCUGCUGCUCUGAGCUGAAGCUGGGCCUUGUAGCUCGUAUUGUUGGCUGCAGGAAGAAAAAUUUCCUGAGAAGAGACUGUACAAUGAAGGAAGAGGUUCCACACUGUGGAGGAGCCUGUGGCAGAAAGCAGACGAUGUUAAAGUAGACGGUUCCCUAAAGCUGGCUGACCAGAUCAGCAGACGCGCUGUCUUGCUCUGGGUUCCAUCACACUGUGAAGGGGAGGCGGCAUCGCGCAGCCCUGCACGGAGCAGCCCUGCAUCACCUCCUGGCAGCCAAAACCCCGCUUAGCAGAUACUGUGGAAAACAUCAGGCCAGAUGCUCCAGGCUUUUCCUUGGCUCCACGCUAAUGAACACACACCCACCAGAUGAGCAGACAGUGCUGCUGCUGCCCGGCCUCGCUCCUGGAGGUGGCUCAGUGCGUCGGAUCCAGGUCUGACCCGAGCUGGAUGUCACUCUGGAAGGGUGACCUGCACUCUAAGGAGCCCCACUCUGCCACUGGACACCACGAGCACUCAGCAUCACGUGGCAUGACCCAGGGUUUAGACAGCUGUUGUGCAUCGCUGCCUGAAAUACAGUAGUUAUGUUUAAGGUAGCAGCAAACACAAUUGUCAGGACAUCUUCGGUAGCUGCCUGAAUCUCAGCUGUGUAUGUUGAAGAACAGCACUGAUAUCGGACUCAGAUGUUUCUUUUGCUGUCACUGCUGUAGGACUCUGUGGUUUCCCUGUGCUGGGGCUGCUGGCUCUGCUCCUGUGCUGGAGCUGUGGUUCUGGUGGCACCUCGGUGUCUCCUGUGGACACAGGUCGGAGCCAACCCUGGGGUACCAGGAGCAGCACCCGUGCAGAGCUUGUGCUGGUGCAGUUUACAUAUGGACAGCCUUUGCAAAUUAAGUAGUGCAAUUCAUCAUAAAGCAUCCUCUACAUUUGUUGCAGAAAUGCUCCUAGCCACAGGGAAUUUGCGUUAUGGCUUGAAGAGCGGCACGUCUUUCAAUGCCUGUAGCAAUGACUGUCUGCUCCCUGAGCUUAAAGAUCAUUAUCCAGCACUCUCUCAUUCAGCAUAACUUUUAUGUCUAGCAAAUUAAAUUUCUGGGCAAAAUAAUUACAUGUAAAGGCUGCUGGCUAUUAUUCACAAGGGGCCAAUUUUCUCGCCAUUUGUUGCCAUUUGAAAUGUCAAAUUUAUGGCACUGUAAU